rnacentral:lncRNA from 1 species
CUAUCCCACCCAGAAGAUCAGAGGCCAGGCUGAGAAUGGAGAUGGGGUGGACUCAGGAACCUCUCUUACCUCUGGAACUUUCAGGCAAUUUCUCUUUCCCCUUAUACCUGCUCCACCCUCAUUCUCUCCAUCCCAUGCCAGCCUAGAGGGGUGUGUGGCCUUGUUGCGCAGGCUAGGUUUCCUCUGCUGGGACAAGGCCUGGGGAUGGGGCCCCUGAUGCCCCCCGAGGUGUAUCUCAGUCCUGGCACAGCAGCCCACACUGGCAGGCCAGCACCACCAGGCAAGGUGGUGUUCUGUGCGGUCCUAGCCUCAUCCUAUAGCAGGUGGACAGGUGUGGAAUGGUGAGGGAGAGUCGGCAGCAGGUUUGGCUUUAUCAACCUCUGAUUGACAUUUAGCUUUUUCUUCCAUUUUGAAUGCAGGCAACAUUGCCCAAAGCAGUAUUAGCAGGACCCGUGUUUUUAAAAACUCUUUGGUUGGCACAUAAUAAUCGUCUGAGCUUAUGGGGUACAUUGAUAAUUGACAGAUGUCUGCGACUUGUAAUGAUUGUCAGAGUAAUUAGC